ACUUUGAUCAUGGCUCAGGAUGAACGCUAGCUACAGGCUUAACACAUGCAAGUCGAGGGGAAACGACAUCGAAAGCUUGCUUUUGAUGGGCGUCGACCGGCGCACGGGUGAGUAACGCGUGUCCAACCUGCCCACCACUUGGGGAUAACCUUGCGAAAGUAAGACUAAUACCCAAUGAUAUCUCUAGAAGGCAUCAGAAAGAGAUUAAAGAUUUAUCGGUGAUGGAUGGGGAUGCGUCUGAUUAGCUUGUUGGCGGGGUAACGGCCCACCAAGGCUACGAUCAGUAGGGGUUCUGAGAGGAAGGUCCCCCACAUUGGAACUGAGACACGGUCCAAACUCCUACGGGAGGCAGCAGUGAGGAAUAUUGGUCAAUGGGCGAGAGCCUGAACCAGCCAAGUAGCGUGCAGGACGACGGCCCUAUGGGUUGUAAACUGCUUUUAUAAGGGAAUAAAGUGAGUCUCGUGAGACUUUUUGCAUGUACCUUAUGAAUAAGGACCGGCUAAUUCCGUGCCAGCAGCCGCGGUAAUACGGAAGGUCCGGGCGUUAUCCGGAUUUAUUGGGUUUAAAGGGAGCGUAGGCCGGAGAUUAAGCGUGUUGUGAAAUGUAGAGGCUCAACCUCUGCACUGCAGCGCGAACUGGUCUUCUUGAGUACGCACAACGUGGGCGGAAUUCGUGGUGUAGCGGUGAAAUGCUUAGAUAUCACGAAGAACUCCGAUUGCGAAGGCAGCUCACGGGAGCGCAACUGACGCUGAAGCUCGAAAGUGCGGGUAUCGAACAGGAUUAGAUACCCUGGUAGUCCGCACGGUAAACGAUGGAUGCCCGCUGUUGGCCUGAAUAGGUCAGCGGCCAAGCGAAAGCAUUAAGCAUCCCACCUGGGGAGUACGCCGGCAACGGUGCAAGGCAAAGGAAUUGACGGA
rnacentral:rRNA from 1 species